rnacentral:tRNA from 1 species
GGGUCGUUAGCUCAGUUGGUAGAGCAGUUGACUUUUAAUCAAUUGGUCUCAGGUUCGAAUCCUGCACGACCCACCA